UUCUUGGGUACCUAAUAUUCAAGCUUUUGGGUUCUCCCCUUAGACCAAAUGUACAAUUGAGCUUAUAUCAUAAUCAAUUCAUUUUAAGAUUAAUCCAUCACAACUUUCAGUCGGUAGAGAUCGUCUAGAAAAGUAGUAACACAGAAAUGCACGUCUCUAGAAUCCUUGCAUUUGAACUUGGACGGGAUAAUUCCUGCGGUUAGCUUCACUAGUUCUAACUUGAAUCAUUUGAGGCUCUGGAUAACAUUGGUGUGGCUUUGAUUGAACAAUAUAAUGGAAGACCUAUCACAAGUAAACGUGCUGAGGGUUUCCACGGUGAAACCAGCUGUGCCUACAGAGAGCAGAAGAAUGUUUCUCUCUGCUUUUGAUCUAAUGUGGCGUGGUAUGAAGUCGGUUGAAAGGCUUCUCUUUUACAAGACAUCUUGUAACGAGUUUGAUGUAAUAGUUGAGAGGUUAAAGAGCAGUCUGUCAUCAAUUUUGGUGCAUUUUUAUCCAUUGGCAGGGAGAUUGGCCUUUGGAGACGAGAACAAAAGGCUGGAAAUAGACUGCAAUGAUGAAGGAAUCCUGUUUUUUGAAGCUUCUGCCAAUCUCCAUUUCCAUGAUUUGGAAAUUAGUGAGUUUGAGUACAGACCUGUUUUCAGAAGACUUAUCCCUGCCCUCCGCCAAUAUCAAGAAGAAGAAUUACCACUUCUCUCUAUCCAGGUAACAGCAUUUAAUGGAGGCAGCAUUUGCAUUGGGACUCGUCUUCAUCACAUAGUAGCAGAUGGAAACUCAUAUUGGCAUUUCAUGAAAUCAUGGGCCGAGUGUUGCAGAGGAGCGCCCAUUUCCAGAUAUCCUGAGCACAAAAGAGACUUCUUUAGACUUUCCAACAACAUUAUCAAUCCAAGCAAUAUUGCUGCAGAAGAUAGCAAAUGUACUUUCCAUGAAAGCAAACAAGCACAGAGCAAAAGCUGCAAAACAGAUGGAGAAACACAACAUUUGCCGUCUCAGAUGCCAGACCAUAAAAAUGAAAGCAGUGAAACAAAACUCUUGGAUUCUAACCAGAUCUACAAAAUUGAUGACGUAAGCAGACCUCUUGAGAAGGGUAAUCAGCCUAAAGAUUUGAUAUACAAAACAUUUCAUUGUAGUAAAGAGAUGAUUCAGAAGCAAAAGGCUCAGGCUGAGAAAAAUGGAAACCAAGUUUUUAGCUCUUUUGUGGCAGUUGCAGCUCAUUUUUGGAGAUGCAUAGUUAAAGCUCGACAAAUCCCAGAUGAAGGGCCUGUAGGGAUGCUUCUGCUAGUAGACAGUAGAAAUCGAGCAAAUCCUCCGUUGUCUCCAGCUUAUUUUGGCAACUGUGUACAAAUUACAUUUGCCAAUGCAACUGCUAGAGAACUGUUGAGCCAAACAGUGUCCUUUGCAUGCAGCCUUAUUAAAGAAGCAGUUAACAAGUGUACAGAAGAAAGUCUUAUAAAUAUGAUAAAAUGGGAGGAAUCUAAUUGGCAGGACAAGGAACGUGAGAAGCCUGAGAAGCGUCCUAUGAGAGAAAGGUGUACUGUGCACGUAAUCAGUUCUCCAAGGUUUCCUGUGUAUGAGGUUGAUUAUGGGUGGGGGAGGCCAGUGAAUGUGCAAGCUGCAUCGAUGAACGAAAUAGGAGCCAUGGUAUUGUUUCCUGGCAGAGAUGGUGGUGGUACAAUGGAUAUCUCUACCUGUCUUCCUCAAUCUCAGAUGGAUGUCUUCCAUUCCCUGUUUGUUGGAUCUAUCAGUUCAUUGCAACCCGAUGAAUGAAAGUAGGACUACUAUGUUCAGUACUUAGAGCUUCAAUCCUAACCUUUAGUUAGGGACAUACCGACCAGCAUAGAAUUCAAGAGUUGAAUUUGCUUUAUACAUUUGCACAAGAGAAACCUUCGAUCAUCAGCGCAAGCAUAGAAACCUGCUUCACUGCAAUGAAAAGACACACCAGCAUCAGUGAGGAAUUUCCUCCUUGCGAAAUUUACCGUGCAUGAUAUGGGCAUUUA